rnacentral:rRNA from 1 species
AGAUUUUUCUUUGUAGCAAUACAGAGGAACGUCUAGUGGCGAACGGGUGCGUAACACGUGGGCAAUCUGCCUUAAAGUGGGGGAUAGCUCGGCGAAAGCCGGAUUAAUACCGCAUGUGAUGAGGGGAGACAUCUUCCCAAAAUCAAAGUCGGGGCAACCUGACGCUUUUUGAGGAGCCCGCGGCCUAUCAGCUAGUUGGUGAGGUGACGGCUCACCAAGGCUAUGACGGGUAGCUGGUCUGAGAGGACGACCAGUCACACUGGAACUGAGACACGGUCCAGACACCUACGGGUGGCAGCAGUCGAGAAUUUUUCUCAAUGGGGGAAACCCUGAAGGAGCGACGCCGCGUGGAGGAUGAAGGUCUUCGGGUUGUAAACUCCUGUCAUUUGGGAACAAUGCUGACGUAUUAACUGUACGUUAGUUGAUAGUACCAGAAGAGGAAGAGACGGCUAACUCUGUGCCAGCAGCCGCGGUAAUACAGAGGUCUCAAGCGUUGUUCGGAUUCAUUGGGCGUAAAGGGUGUGUAGGUGGCGCGCUAAGUCGGGUGUGAAAUUUCGGAGCUUAACUCCGAAACUGCAUUCGAUACUGGCGUGCUUGAGGACUGGAGAGGAGACUGGAAUUCAUGGUGUAGCAGUGAAAUGCGUAGAGAUCAUGAGGAAGACUAGUGGCGAAGGCGGGUCUCUGGACAGUUCCUGACACUGAGACACGAAGGCCAGGGGAGCAAACGGGAUUAGAUACCCUCGGUAGUCCUGGCAGUAAACGGUGCACGUUUGGUGUGGGA